GUGACUUUUUAUAUCAAGCUCCUUCUGCUGCUUCUAAACUCUCUUCAGAGAAAAAACUGCUUGAAGGAGCACUUUGGCUUUGGUCAAAGCGUGACAGCCAGAUGACAGUAGAAUGGCAGAGCAUUUUUAUCCUUUGAAUUAGAUGUUUUUGGUUCUUUCGACAAUUGGUUUUUGUCAUCCUUUACUCAGCCUAACCAAUAAUAAAUGUCAGAU
rnacentral:sRNA from 1 species